rnacentral:tRNA from 1 species
UGGGCUGUGGCUCAGCGGUAGAGCGCUUGUCUAGCACGUGUGAGGCCCUGGGUUCAAUCCUCAGCGCCACAU